UACGGGGGGGAGCAAGCGUUGUUCGGAUUUACUGGGCGUAAAGGGCGCGUAGGCGGUCAGCACAAGUCAGUUGUGAAAUCUCCGGGCUUAACUCGGAAAGGUCAACUGAUACUGUGCGACUAGAGUGCAGAAGGGGCAACUGGAAUUCUCGGUGUAGCGGUGAAAUGCGUAGAUAUCGAGAGGAACACCGGUGGCGAAGGCGGGGUCUCUGGGCCGUAACUGACGCUGAGGAGCGAAAGCGUGGGGAGCGAACAGG
rnacentral:rRNA from 1 species